rnacentral:tRNA from 1 species
GGAGGGCUGUCCGAGUGGCCGAUGGAGCCGGUCUUGAAAACCGGUGGGCAGCGAUGUCUCGUGGGUUCGAAUCCCACGCCCUCCG